UACGGAGGGCGCGAGCGUUAAUCGGAAUUACUGGGCGUAAAGCGCGCGUAGGCUAUUGUGUAAGUUGGGGGUGAAAUCCCACGGCUCAACCGUGGAACAGCCCUUGAUACUGCGCGACUUGAAUCCGGGAGAGGGUGGCGGAAUUCCAGGUGUAGGAGUGAAAUCCGUAGAUAUCUGGAGGAACAUCAGUGGCGAAGGCGGCCACCUGGACCGGUAUUGACGCUGAGGCGCGAAAGCGUGGGGAGCAAACAGG
rnacentral:rRNA from 1 species